GUUAAGCGACUAAGCGUACACGGUGGAUGCCCUGGCAGUCAGAGGCGAUGAAGGACGUGCUAAUCUGCGAUAAGCGUCGGUAAGGUGAUAUGAACCGUUAUAACCGGCGAUUUCCGAAUGGGGAAACCCAGUGUGUUUCGACACACUAUCAUUAACUGAAUCCAUAGGUUAAUGAGGCGAACCGGGGGAACUGAAACAUCUAAGUACCCCGAGGAAAAGAAAUCAACCGAGAUUCCCCCAGUAGCGGCGAGCGAACGGGGAGCAGCCCAGAGCCUGAAUCAGUGUGUGUGUUAGUGGAAGCGUCUGGAAAGGCGCGCGAUACAGGGUGACAGCCCCGUACACAAAAAUGCACAUGCUGUGAGCUCGAUGAGUAGGGCGGGACACGUGGUAUCCUGUCUGAAUAUGGGGGGACCAUCCUCCAAGGCUAAAUACUCCUGACUGACCGAUAGUGAACCAGUACCGUGAGGGAAAGGCGAAAAGAACCCCGGCGAGGGGAGUGAAAAAGAACCUGAAACCGUGUACGUACAAGCAGUGGGAGCACGCUUAGGCGUGUGACUGCGUACCUUUUGUAUAAUGGGUCAGCGACUUAUAUUCUGUAGCAAGGUUAACCGAAUAGGGGAGCCGAAGGGAAACCGAGUCUUAACUGGGCGUUAAGUUGCAGGGUAUAGACCCGAAACCCGGUGAUCUAGCCAUGGGCAGGUUGAAGGUUGGGUAACACUAACUGGAGGACCGAACCGACUAAUGUUGAAAAAUUAGCGGAUGACUUGUGGCUGGGGGUGAAAGGCCAAUCAAACCGGGAGAUAGCUGGUUCUCCCCGAAAGCUAUUUAGGUAGCGCCUCGUGAAUUCAUCUCCGGGGGUAGAGCACUGUUUCGGCAAGGGGGUCAUCCCGACUUACCAACCCGAUGCAAACUGCGAAUACCGGAGAAUGUUAUCACGGGAGACACACGGCGGGUGCUAACGUCCGUCGUGAAGAGGGAAACAACCCAGACCGCCAGCUAAGGUCCCAAAGUCAUGGUUAAGUGGGAAACGAUGUGGGAAGGCCCAGACAGCCAGGAUGUUGGCUUAGAAGCAGCCAUCAUUUAAAGAAAGCGUAAUAGCUCACUGGUCGAGUCGGCCUGCGCGGAAGA
rnacentral:rRNA from 1 species